GCAUGCUCCAGAGGCGUUGCAGGUAAGGCUGCUAUGUCACAUCAGUAUACUCUGUGCAUUGGUAGGUGGCAGAGGGAGAAAGGGUAUGUCUUUGCUCAGUGUUCUAACUUGUGAACAUUUGAAUGGUUAGUAGCCUAAUCCU
ensembl:snoRNA Gm24347 predicted gene, 24347